rnacentral:rRNA from 1 species
UACGGGGGGGGCAAGCGUUGUUCGGAAUUACUGGGCGUAAAGGGCCCGUAGGCGGCCAACUAAGUCAGACGUGAAAUCCCCAGGCUCAACCUGGGAACUGCGUCUGAUACUGGAUGGCUUGAAUUCGGGAGAGGGAUGCAGAAUUCCAGGUGUAGCGGUGAAAUGCGUAGAUAUCAGGAGGAACACCGGUGGCGAAGGCGGGUCUCUGGGCCGAUACUGACGCUGAGGAGCGAAAGCGUGGGGAGCGAACAGG